rnacentral:rRNA from 1 species
GUGCCAGCAGCCGCCGCGGUAAUACGGAGGGUGCAAGCGUUAAUCGGAAUUACUGGGCGUAAAGGGCGCGUAGGCGGCCGAUCAAGUCAGAUGUGAAAGCCCACGGCUUAACCGUGCGAAGUGCAUCUGAAACUGGUUGGCUUGAGUAUCGGAGGGGAAGGUGGAAUUCCCGGUGUAGAGGUGAAAUUCGUAGAUAUCGGGGGGAAUACCGGUGGCGAAGGCGACUUUCUGGACGAAUACUGACGCUGAGGCGCGAAAGCGUGGGGAGCAAACAGGAUUAGAUACCCUGGUAGUCCACAGC